rnacentral:rRNA from 1 species
AAGUCGUAACAAGGUCUCCGUUGGUGAACCAGCGGAGGGAUCAUUACUGAGUACUACACUCUCUACCCUUUGUGAACUAUUAUACCUGUUGCUUCGGCGGCGCCCGCAAGGGUGCCCGCCGUCUCAUCAGAAUCUCUGUUUUCGAACCCGACGAUACUUCUGAGUGUUCUUAGCGAACUGUCAAAACUUUUAACAACGGAUCUCUUGGCUCCAGCAUCGAUGAAGAACGCAGCGAAACGCAAUAUGUAAUGUGAAUUGCAGAAUUCAGUGAAUCAUCGAAUCUUUGAACGCACAUGGCGCCUUCCAGUAUCCUGGGAGGCAUGCCUGUCCGAGCGUCGUUUCAACCCUCGAGCCCCUGUGGCCCGGCGUUGGGGAUCUGCCACGGCAGGCCCCUAAAACCAGUGGCGGACCCGAAGGGCCCUCUCCUUUGCGCAGUAGCCAUUCGGCCUCGCAUCGGGAGUCCUCGGCGUCCUGCCUCUAAACCCCCCACAAGCCCGCUUCGGCGGCACCAAGGUUGACCUCGGAUCAGGUAGGAAUACCGCUGAACUUAA